UAGCUCAUGACUUAAUCGGUUAAAGUACUGCCUUGAUAAGGCAGAUCAUAUUGGUUCGAGUCCAAUUGAGCGCA
rnacentral:tRNA from 1 species